AGUCCGUGCCAGCANCCGCGGUAAUACGGAGGGUNCAAGCGUUAAUCGGAAUUACUGGGCGUAAAGCGCACGCANGCGGUUUGUUAAGUCAGAUGUGAAAUCCCCGGGCUCAACCUGGGAACUGCAUUUGAAACUGGCAAGCUAGAGUCUCGUAGAGGGGGGUAGAAUUCCAGGUGUAGCGGUGAACUGCGUAGAGAUCUGGAGGAAUACCGGUGGCGAAGGCGGCCCCCUGGACGAAGACUGACGCUCAGGUGCGAAAGCGUGGGGAGCAAACAGGAUUAGAUACCCUGGUAGUCCACGCUGUAAACGAUGUCGAUUUGGAGGUUGUGCCCUUGAGGCGUGGCUUCCGGAGCUAACGCGUUAAGGCGACCGCUUGGGGANACGGCCGCAA
rnacentral:rRNA from 1 species